UUCAGGUCAACGUUCAUAGUAAAACUCACGUUGGUUACUUGGAAAGCCACGUUCCAAACUAUAUAUGGAGGUCAUUCAUUACACAGAAUGCUUCCGACCGUGACCUCUUGGUUAGACAACUGAAGCAAUAUGGUACUCCUAUUAUGAACUACACAGGGGCAAUAGCAUCAUGUGUGAGCCAUUGAACAUUACCCCGGAGAUGAAGCAACUUGGGAUCACAUCAAGACUCGAUCAAGAAUUUGAGGCUCCUCCUGCUGUAAAAAAUGUUUUGAUUACUCAGGCUUUAGUGGAUCAAUCGGUAUAACACUGCUUGUAUCCGGUUCAUGAAUCUGCACCAAGUUGCACUGGUUAUGGCUUUAAAUAAAUUUUCUU